UAGAUAUAAUAAAUUUCCUUCCUUUCGUCUGUUUUAAAAUUUCCUGUCUUUCGGGACAGGAAUAAGAACAAUUUUAUAAUUUACAUGGCAGACCUGGUUGUCUUGCCAUUUGUAGGUGGCACUUAUAUUGGACAAUCCUAUGGACUGUAGCUCUAUGGUAACUAUUUAGGAGUAACAAUAUUAUGUCUACAAAUGUUGAUGUGCGCUCAAGUUGAUGCCACAUGAGGCUUUAACUAUAUGCAGUGCAGCUAUUUGUAUAACCUUAACUAUAUAUGGUUUUACUGUCUAGUCACUUUUAAGUAUUAUUCUUUUUCGGGUUGUCAAAUGCCUGUAUUGGCUUGCUGGACUUCUUUAGUCGCCUACUAAUUACUGUGAUUAACUUUGGGAGGUUUAUUGGAAUCCAGUCAGUGGAAAUAUAGUACUUUGUUUGCUUUCCUACAGGAACUUGCCCCAUCAGAUGAAGAACACUCUUUUCAGUGAGCUCAUUAAAGCUCACCUACUUUUAUAGCUUUAACUUCCUACUUGUUUGGCAGGUUUUGGAGGAGAGCUCUAUUUUCUUUCAUACCUGUUGCAUUAGUCUCUUCUUAAUUCACUUUUUAAAUUUGUUCAUACAUGGCAUCCUAAAAAUGGUUUUACUUUUGCAGGAACUCAAGCAUUUACUGUGAGUCGAGAUAUAGCUUGUUAUAUUGUUGAGUUAUUAUUUGUCUGAAUUCAUUAGCAGAAUCAUGAGUUUCUUACUGAGUUUGUUCUUUUCUUAUUCAGCAGAUCUGUGCUCUUCCACGAGGUCUGAAGUCUGAACAAAUAGAACCAGUUACAAACCUUGAACUCUUGAACAUGUGGAUGAUCUAACAAAAUCAAUUGGUUUUUGCUAACCACGUUAAAGUGUAACUCUAUCCUGCUUAGCAUUGUCAGUAAUAUCAUGUCUGAUAUUGGUAAAGCAAGGUCCUAUUUGGUUGAAAGGGCUUGGAGUCAGAAGUCUGGUGUUUACUCCUGCCUAUCUGUAUCUGCUUUUUCUGAUGGUGUUACCUGAAGAAGAAUCUUUAGCCAGCCAAAUCAAGGGGUGUCUGCUAAUCACAAUAAAAUGACUACCCUGCGGUUCAAUUUGCUCCUCUAUUAUUGCGAAAGAACGAUCCUAUUUGGUUGAAAGGGCUUGGAGUCAGAAGUCUGGUGUUUACUCCUGCCCAUCUGUAUCUGCUUUUUCUGAUGGUGUUACCUGAAGAAGAAUCUUUAGCCAGCCAAUUCAAGGGGUGUCUGCUAAUCACAAUAAAAUGACUACCCUGCUGUUCAAUUUGCUCCUCUAUUAUUGCGAAAGAACGAUCAUGUUUCAGGUCAUUCAGAAAGGCUACACUUGCUGUAUGUUCCCUAUUUCUUUGUGCUUUGAAUUCUAAAUUGGCGCUUCCAAUCAGUGUAGUAUUUGCUUAUAUGCUGCAUUCUUGGCUUCUUGCUACUUUUCAGGAAAUCUACAAGGUGAAUGGCAGUGACCAGAAAAAGUCGGGUCUCUAGCUGCAGCGUAGCCCUAUUUCGUUUUAAGCAAUGUCAGUGGGAUUGGCUGUGGUGAAUUUUAGGAGUCAUCAUACGAGUCAAAUAUGAUUUCCACUAAAAUGUCUUCUAGGAAAAACUCGGGGAAUGCAUCUUCGUCAAUUGUGUAUGGCCAUGAAGAUCUGUUGCAACAAAGCUCCAUUGAGAGCUUCCUCUUCCACUUGGUCAGCGGCUAAGGAGGCAUGCCUCACCACCAUCUGGUGGAGUGUAUGUAUUGAAAGAAACAACAGAAUUUCUUAAGGCAAAAAUAGGAACAUACUUGGCCUUAAAAAACAUAGAUGCAUUUCUUUGUUAGUUUUUUGGUGCGAACUCAGCAUUGUACAUGAUGCAGAUGCAAUGAUUGAGAUCCGAUAGGGUGUUUGCAGUCUCUGUAAUUUCCUAUAUAGCACUGGAGUGUGAGUUUACCAUUUAUAAAACAUUUGUCAUUACUUAUAAAAAAAAUGCUUCUUUGUCAAUAUCACAGUACGUUGCUCCUUGGGUUAUUCUUCCAUUUUUUGGUUCUAAUCUGACUAUUGUAAUAUUUGCUGGCUUUUCAUAGUGAUGGAAACAAAAUACUUGAAGGAAGAAUAAAGGAGUUCAUCAAUUAUAAUUGCUAGUUAUGUCCCU
rnacentral:lncRNA from 1 species